rnacentral:rRNA from 1 species
UACGUAGGGUGCAAGCGUUAAUCGGAAUUACUGGGCGUAAAGCGUGCGCAGGCGGUUUUGUAAGUCUGACGUGAAAUCCCCGGGCUCAACCUGGGAAUUGCGUUGGAGACUGCAAGGCUAGAAUCUGGCAGAGGGGGGUAGAGUUCCACAUGUAGCAGUGAAAUGCGUAGAGAUGUGGAGGAACACCGAUGGCGAAGGCAGCCCCCUGGGUCAAGAUUGACGCUCAUGCACGAAAGGCGUGGGGA